rnacentral:misc_RNA from 1 species
UCUCCGUAGGUGAACCUGCGGAGGGAUCAUUACAGAGUUCGUGCCCUCGAGUGUGGUUCUCCCACCCUGUGUUAUUGCUACCUUUGUUGUUUUGGCGUUUCUCCCGGGGUUACCGGCACCGGCUUGUACGCGCCCGCAAGAGGAUCCCAAAUCCUGUACGUCAGUGUCGUCUGAGUACUAUACAAUAGUUAAAACUUUCAACAACGGAUCUCUUGGUUCUG